UACGGGGGGAGCAAGCGUUGUUCGGAUUUACUGGGCGUAAAGGGCGCGUAGGCGGCCACCGCAAGUCGAUUGUGAAAUCUCCGGGCUUAACCCGGAAAGGUCAACCGAUACUGCGGGGCUAGAGUGCGGAAGGGGCAACUGGAAUUCUUGGUGUAGCGGUGAAAUGCGUAGAUAUCAAGAGGAACACCUGCGGCGAAAGGCGGGUUGCUGGGCCGACACUGACGCUGAUGCGCGAAAAGCUAGGGGGAGCGAAACGGG
rnacentral:rRNA from 1 species